CUUGAGAACCUUCUGUGUUUGGUUGCCGGGAUGUUGCUAUGGUCACAUUCCAUGUUGGAAUUGGAGUAGUGAACUGUGGAAACAGUGAUAGCUCAGGAUGCCCAGGCUUGAAGCUAGGCUAUCUGGAAAUUCUGGAGUGUGCUAAAGCCACACUGGACAUGGACCAGACAGCUCUGAAGAAACUGGUAGGAUCCAUCAGUGAAACUGUCAAGAGCUACAGGCACCAGAUGGACAGCGGUCACCGUCCAAAGUGAGUGUUGAGCCCCAAGCUGCAGUUCAGUAGGAUACCUCAAAUGGCUAAGUGGCAGUUCAUGCUGGCAUCUGGUACCAGCCUGCCUAAGCUAAGAGGAUCUAACAUUCCUGCAAGGAAAGCAGCCAGUGACAGACAAGGCAAGUGAGUAACCCCUUUACCUUUUCCCUUCUUGUGGCAUGAGCGUUGUUUUUUUCUGGGGGAGGGUGGGG
rnacentral:lncRNA from 1 species